rnacentral:rRNA from 1 species
GCACAAGCGGUGGAGCAUGUGGUUUAAUUCGACGCAACGCGAAGAACCUUACCUGGGCUCGAAGUGUAGUGGAAUCCGGCAGAAACGUCGGCGUCUAGCAAUAGACCGCUAUAUAGGUGCUGCAUGGCUGUCGUCAGCUCGUGUCGUGAGAUGUUGGGUUAAGUCCCGCAACGAGCGCAACCCUUAUCUUCAGUUGCUACCAUUUAGUUGAGCACUCUGACGAAACCGCCUCGGAUAACGGGGAGGAAGGUGGGGAUGACGUCAAGUCCUCAUGGCCUUUAUGUCCAGGGCUACACACGUGCUACAAUGGCCGGUACAAACCGCUGCAAACCCGCGAGGGGGAGCUAAUCGGAAAAAGCCGGCCUCAGUUCGGAUUGGAGUCUGCAACUCGACUCCAUGAAGCUGGAAUCGCUAGUAAUCGUGGAUCAGCAUGCCACGGUGAAUACGUUCCCGGGC